rnacentral:rRNA from 1 species
GACGAACGCUGGCGGCGUGCUUAACACAUGCCAGUCGAACGAAGCUUGAUUACGCAUUCUUCGGAGGAAGUAUGAUAUGACUGAGUGGCGGACGGGUGAGUAACGCGUUAUUAACCUGCGCUUCCGAGGGGGAUAGCGAUCGGAAACGAACGGUAAUACCGCAUAAUGUAUUUUGACCGCAUGAUCGAAAUAUCAAGGAUUUAUUACAGAUAGAUGGACUGGCGUCUGCUUAGGUAGAUGGAGGGGUAUCGGCCUACCAAGCCGACGAUCAGAAGCCGGAGUGAGAGGUUGCUCGGCAGCAUCCUGACUGAGACACCACCCGGACUCCUUCGGCAGGCAGCAGAGGGGAAUAUUGGACAAUGGGCGCGAGUCAGAUGGAGCAUCGCCGCGUGAAGGAAGACGGUUUUCGGAGAGUAAACUUCUGUUCUUAGUGAAGAAUAAUGACGGUAGCUAAGGAGAAAGCCACGGCUAACUACGUG